UGGCGCCCCGGCCAGGGGAAGCGUCCGCUGCGUAGCUGCUCUUUGGAGCAGUAAACAGUGACUCACCCCUGCUCCCCGCCUCCCCGCUCCCUGCUAAUGGAAGACGCAUGGCUCCGUUACCAUUUCCACACGGUUCUGUC
rnacentral:lncRNA from 1 species